AACGAACGCUGGCGGCAUGCCUAACACAUGCAAGUCGAACGAGACCUCCGGGUCUAGUGGCGCACGGGUGCGUACCGCGUGGGAACCCGCCCUUAGGUUCGGAAUAACUCCCCGAAAGGGGUGCUAAUACCGGAUAAUGUCUUCGGACCAAAGAUUUAUCGCCUUUGGAUGGGCCCGCGUUGGAUUAGCUAGUUGGUAGGGUAAAAGCCUACCAAGGCGACGAUCCAUAGCUGGUCUGAGAGGAUGAUCAGCCACACUGGGACUGAGACACGGCCCAGACUCCUACGAGAAGCAGCAGUGGGGAAUAUAGGACAAGGGGCGAGAGCCUGAUCCAGCAAGGCCGCGUGGGUGAUGAAGGCCUUAGGGUUGUAAAGCUCUUUUACCCGGGAUGAUAGUGACAGUACCGGGAGAAGAAGCACCGGCUAACUCCGUG
rnacentral:rRNA from 1 species